GGAGGAAUUUUGGACAAUGGGCGAAAGCCUGAUCCAGCCAUGCCGCGUGAGUGAAGAAGGCCUUCGGGUUGUAAAGCUCUUUUAGUCGGAAAGAAAAGAUCAUAAUGAACAAUUAUGAUUCAUGACGGUACCGACAGAAAAAGCACCGGCUAACUACGUGCCAGCAGCCGCGGUAAUACGUAGGGUGCGAGCGUUAAUCGGAAUUACUGGGUGUAAAGGGUGCGCAGGCGGUUUUGUAAGUCAGAUGUGAAAUCCCCGGGCUUAACCUGGGAAUUGCGUUUGAAACUGCAAGACUAGAGUGCAGCAGAGGGGAGUGGAAUUCCGAUGUGUAGCAGUGAAAUGCGUAGAGAUGUGGAAGAACACCGAUGGCGAAGGCAGCUCCCUGGGUUGACACUGACGCUC
rnacentral:rRNA from 1 species